rnacentral:rRNA from 1 species
CCCUUAGAUGUUCUGGGCCGCACGCGCGCUACACUGAUGCAUUCAACGAGCACUAACCUGUGCAGAAAUGUUCGGGUAAUCUUGUGAAAUUUCAUCGUGAUGGGGAUUGAUUAUUGCAAUUAUUAAUCAUAAACGAGGAAUGCCUAGUAAGCGUGAGUCAUCAGCUCACGUUGAUUACGUCCCUGCCCUUUGUACACACCGCCCGUCGCUCCUACCGAUUGAAUGUGCUGGUGAAAAGUUCGGAUUGGGAAUAGGAGACGGCAACGUAUCCUGUUUCUGAGAAAAUCUUUAAACCCUCCCAUUUAGAGGAAGGAGAAGUCGUAACA